CUGGAGUCUAACAGAGAUUAUUAAAAAUAAACAGGUAACUAGCAGUGCAAGCUUCCCCACACUGGUCCACCAAACUCUCUCAUCCCUUACCAGGAGAUACCAACUUUAGAGAUGUGGGAGAAGAUAGCUUUGUGUAACCACCACUUGUUUGCACUG
rnacentral:sRNA from 1 species